rnacentral:rRNA from 1 species
UACGUAGGUGGCAAGCGUUGUCCGGAAUUAUUGGGCGUAAAGCGCGCGCAGGUGGUUCUUUAAGUCUGAUGUGAAAGCCCCCCGGCUCAACCGGGGAGGGUCAGUGGAAACUGGGGAACUUGAGUGCAGAAGAGGAUAGUGGAAUUCCAAGUGUAGCGGUGAAAUGCGUAGAGAUUUGGAGGAACGCCAGUGGCGAAGGCGACUGUCUGGUCUGUAACUGACACUGAGGCGCGAAAGCGUGGGGAGCAAACAGG